AACCUCUCAGGGUGGCAGCUGGAGAGUUUCCAGUACUCUACCAGUCUCGACUACGGAAGGGACAGUCAAGCGGAGGCAAAGUCAUUCCAUUCCUAGCUUAGCCAGUGGCUAGCGAGUGGAAGGCCAUCUGCUACAAGG